rnacentral:rRNA from 1 species
GACGAACGCUGGCGGCGUGCCUAAUACAUGCAAGUUGAGCGCUGAAGGUUGGUACUUGUACCAACUGGAUGAGCAGCGAACGGGUGAGUAACGCGUGGGUAAUCUGCCUUUGAGCGGGGGACAACAUUUGGAAACGAAUGCUAAUACCGCAUAAAAACUUUAAACACAAGUUUUAAGUUUGAAAGAUGCAAUUGCAUCACUCAAAGAUGAUCCCGCGUUGUAUUAGCUAGUUGGUGAGGUAAAGGCUCACCAAGGCGAUGAUACAUAGCCGACCUGAGAGGGUGAUCGGCCACAUUGGGACUGAGACACGGCCCAAACUCCUACGGGAGGGAGCAGUAGGGAAACUUCGGAAAUGGACGAAAGGCUGAACGAGCAACGCCGCGUGAGUGAAGAAGGGUUUCGGAUCGUAAAACUCUGUUGGUAGAGAAGAAAGUUGGUGAGGGUGGAAAGCUCAUCAAGUGACGGUAACUACCCAGAAAGGGACGGCUAACUACGUG